rnacentral:rRNA from 1 species
AUCCUGGUCGGACAUCAGGAGGUUAGUGCAAUGGCAUAAGCCAGCUUGACUGCGAGCGUGACGGCGCGAGCAGGUGCGAAAGCAGGUCAUAGUGAUCCGGUGGUUCUGAAUGGAAGGGCCAUCGCUCAACGGAUAAAAGGUACUCCGGGGAUAACAGGCUGAUACCGCCCAAGAGUUCAUAUCGACGGCGGUGUUUGGCACCUCGAUGUCGGCUCAUCACAUCCUGGGGCUGAAGUAGGUCCCAAGGGUAUGGCUGUUCGCCAUUUAAAGUGGUACGCGAGCUGGGUUUAGAACGUCGUGAGACAGUUCGGUCCCUAUCUGCCGUGGGCGCUGGAGAACUGAGGGGGGCUG